ensembl:lncRNA
GGGUAAACCCUACAGAAUAAAGUUGUUAACAGGGUAAACUCUACAGAAUAAAGUUGUUAACAGGGUAAACUCUACAGAAUAAGGUUGUUAACAGGGUAAACUCUACAGAAUAAAGUUGUUACCAGGGUAAACUCUACAGAAUAAAGUUGUUAACAGGGUAAACUCUACAGAAUAAAGUUGUUAACAGGGUAAACUCUACAGAAUAAAGUUGUUAACAGGGUAAACUCUACAGAAUAAGGUUGUUAACAGGGUAAACUCUACAGAAUAAAGAUGUUACCAGGGUAAACCCUACAGAAUAAAGUUGUUAACAGGGUAAACUCUACAGAAUAAAGUUGUUAACAGGGUAAACUCUACAGAAUAAGGUUAACAGGGUAAACUCUACAGAAUAAAGAUGUUACCAGGGUAAACUCUACAGAAUAAAGUUGUUAACAGGGUAAACUCUACAGAAUAAGGUUGUUAACAGGGUAAACUCUACAGAAUAAAGAUGUCUGAACACAGAACAUGUUAAUGGGUAAACUGCUGGUCAACAUUUUGACACAGCUGAAUCAACAACCAGUAGAAGCACAUCACACACCUUGUCUACGUCCCAAAUAGCAUCCUAUUCCUUGUUUCGUGCCCUACUUUAAUCUAGAGCCCUAUUCCCUGUAUUGUGCCCUACUUUAAUCUAGAGCCCUGAUCCCUGUAUCGUGCCCUACUUUCAUCUAGAGCCCUAUUCCCUGUAUCGUGCCCUACUUUCAACCAGAGCCCUAUUCCCUGUAUCGUGCCCUACUUUCAACCAGAGCCCUGAUCCCUGUUUCGUGCCCUACUUUCAACCAGAGCCCUAUUCCCUGUAUCGUGCCCUACUUUCAACCAGAGCCCUGGUAGUGGCCCUUAGGAUGAAUAGGAUGCCAUUUGGGACGUAGACCUUCGCCAGGUUUAUGAGGGGAAACCAACGCAUCCACACCUGCUAGGUAUGAACCCCGUGGGUGCGAACCACAGAAACACCCAGACACACAUCCCAGGACAUAUUCAUUAGGCGCACACACAGAGACACACACAGAAACACCCAGACACACACACACAAACACCCAGACACACACCCCAGGACAUAUUCAUUAGGCGCACACACAGACACACACACACACAGAAACACACACAGACACACA